rnacentral:rRNA from 1 species
CGGGAAACCGGAGCUAAUACCGGAUAAUAUAUUGAACCGCAUGGUUCAAUAGUGAAAGACGGUUUUGCUGUCACUUAUAGAUGGAUCCCGCGCCGCAUUAGCUAGUUGGUAAGGUAACGGCUUACCAAGGCAACGAUGCCGUAGCCGACCUGAGAGGGUGAUCGGCCACACUGGAACUGAGACACGGUCCAGACUCCUACGGGAGGCAGCAGCU